rnacentral:rRNA from 1 species
UUUACCAAAAACAUGGCUUCUUGUAGUAAAUAAAUAGGGAGUCGGACCUGCCCAGUGAAAGUUUUUAACGGCCGCGGUACUCUGACCGUGCAAAGGUAGCAUAAUCAUUUGCCUUAUAAUUGAAGGCUGGUAUGAAUGGUUUGACAAGAAUAUAGCUGUCUCUUUAUAAUUUAAUAGAAUUUUAUUUUAAGGUGAAGAAGCCUUGAUCAAAUUAAAAGACAAGAAGACCCUAUCGAGCUUGAAAGAAUUUAAUGGAAUAUAUAGUAUUAAUAAUUAGUUAAAAAAUUAUCUAUUAAAAAUUUUGGUUGGGGCGACUGAGGAACAAAAAUAGCUUCCUUUAAAACGUAAUAACAUACAUGUAUUGAUCCAAAAUUUUUGAUUAAAGAAAUUAGUUACCGUAGGGAUAACAGCAUUAUCCUCUUUGAGAGUUCUUAUCGAAAAGGGGGUUUGUGACCUCGAUGUUGGACCAGAAUAUCCUAAAGAUGCAGAAGUCUUUAAGGGUUGGUCUGUUCGACCAUUAAAAUUCUACGUGAUCUGAGUUCAGACCGG